rnacentral:rRNA from 1 species
AGCGAAAGGGUAGCGAAACCGCGAGGUCAAGCAAAUCCCAUAAAGUUGUUCUCAGUUCGGAUUGUAGUCUGCAACUCGACUAUAUGAAGCUGGAAUCGCUAGUAAUCGUAGAUCAGCAUGCUACGGUGAAUACGUUCCCGGGUCUUGUACACACCGCCCGUCACACCACGAGAGUUUGUAACACCCGAAGCCGGUGGAGUAACCAUUUGGAGCUAGCCGUCGAAGGUGGGACAAAUGAUUGGGGUGAAGUCGUAACAAGGUAGCCGUAUCGGAAGGUGCGGCUGGAUCACCUCCUUU